GGCUUAUACAUGCAAGUCAAGGGGUAGCAAUACACCGGCGUACGGGUGCGUAACGCGUAUGGAACCUGCCCUUAUCUGGGGGAUAACUCGGGGAAACUCGAGCUAAUACCGCAUAAGAUAGUAAAGAGGCAUCUCUUAGCUAUUAAAGAUUUAUCGGAUAAGGAUGGCCAUGCGUAAGAUUAGAUAGUUGGCGAGGUAACGGCUCACCAAGUCUACGAUCUUUAGGGGCUCUGAGAGGAGAAUCCCCCACACUGGAACUGAGACACGGUCCAGACUCCUACGGGAGGCAGCAGUGGGGAAUAUUGGACAAUGGGGGCAACCCUGAUCCAGCAAUGCCGCGUGAGUGAAGAAGGCCUUCGGGUUGUAAAGCUCUUUUAUCAGGGACGAUAAUGACGGUACCUGAGGAAUAAGCUCCGGCUAACUACGUGCCAGCAGCCGCGGUAAUACGUAGGGCGCAAGCGUUGUCCGGAAUUAUUGGGCGUAAAGAGCUCGUAGGCGGUUGGUCGCGUCUGCUGUGAAAUCCCGAGGCUCAACCUCGGGCCUGCAGUGGGUACGGGCCAACUAGAGUGCGGUAGGGGAGAUCGGAAUUCCUGGUGUAGCGGUGGAAUGCGCAGAUAUCAGGAGGAACACCAAUGGCGAAGGCACAUCUCUGGGCCGUAACUGACGCUGAGGAGCGAAAGCGUGGGGAGCAAACAGGAUUAGAUACCCUGGUAGUCCACGCCGUAAACGGUGGGUGCUAGCUGUGGGCCACAUUCCACGUGGUCCGUAACGAAGUUAACACAUUAAGC
rnacentral:rRNA from 1 species